ACUAUGAAGUGACUUCAAAAUUAGCUCCAACUGUUUUCUCUUAUUUUAUUCCCUAAGACCCAGUUGAAGGGAAUGAAAAUGAGCAAAAUUCAAGGAACAGAAGAGCUUUUUUUACAAAGAAAUCGCUUUUGCUGCCAAAUGAAGAGGACGCCAGAUACAGUUGCAUUGCAGAAAAAUGUUUCUCUAACUUGGAAAGUUGCACACAUCCCGGAGUUCGAAGAGUGUCAUACCUCUCAGAUGAUGAGCUGAGACGACUUCUUCAAGUCCACUGUGUCUUUAACUUGGGAGUCUGUGCCACCGAUUGCUUUAACAGACGGCUUUAUGACAAAGUUUGACGCUGUUUUCUGUGUCCGAUCUGCACUGGACUCUUCUUUCACUCAAACGCUCUCAAUAUACCAAUUAUUAUUCUGGUAGUUCUAAGGGAGAUUGUGUAUCACUGCACAAAGUUUUAUUUGAAUUGAAAGGUACCUGGAAUACUUUAAGUUGAAAUAUAAUAAAUAUAUUUAUAUAUAUAUUAAAUGUAUAUUAAUAAUAUAUUAACUUGAAAUUUUAAGUUGAAAAUAACA